UUACGGUCACAUCAAGUUUAAACACUGGUUCCCGUACGAUCAACGAAGUUAAGAAACGUCGUACCUGUUCAGUAACUAGAUGGGUGACUGCUUGAGAAUACCAGGUGUUGAAA